UACGUAGGGUGCAAGCGUUGUCCGGAUUUAUUGGGCGUAAAGAGCGUGUAGGCGGCCAGGUAGGUCUGCUGUGAAAACUCGAGGCUCAACCUCGAGCUGUCGGCGGAAACCAUCUGGCUAGAGUCCGGAAGAGGAGAGUGGAAUUCCUGGUGUAGCGGUGAAAUGCGCAGAUAUCAGGAAGAACACCCGUGGCGAAGGCGGCUCUCUGGGACGGUACUGACGCUGAGACGCGAAAGCGUGGGGAGCGAACAGG
rnacentral:rRNA from 1 species